rnacentral:rRNA from 1 species
UGAAGGUGAGUUGAGAAGCUUGCUGGAGGUAUCAGAAGUGCGAAUGCUGACAUGAGUAACGACAAUGGGUGUGAAAAACACCCACGCCGAAAGACCAAGGUUUCCUGCGCAACGUUAAUCGACGCAGGGUUAGUCGGUCCCUAAGGCGAGGCUGAAAAGCGUAGUCGAUGGAAAACAGGUUAAUAUUCCUGUACUUCUGGUUAUUGCGAUGGAGGGACGGAGAAGGCUAGGCCAGCUUGGCGUUGGUUGUCCAAGUUUAAGGUGGUAGGCUGGAAUCUUAGGUAAAUCCGGGAUUCUAAGGCCGAGAGCUGAUGACGAGUUAACUUUUAGUUAACGAAGUGGUUGAUGCCAUGCUUCCAAGAAAAGCUUCUAAGCUUCAGGUAACCAGGAACCGUACCCCAAACCGACACAGGUGGUUGGGUAGAGAAUACCAAGGCGCUUGAGAGAACUCGGGUGAAGGAACUAGGCAAAAUGGCACCGUAACUUCGGGAGAAGGUGCGCCGGUGAGGGUGAAGGACUUGCUCCGUAAGCUCAUGCCGGUCGAAGAUACCAGGCCGCUGCGACUGUUUAUUAAAAACACAGCACUCUGCAAACACGAAAGUGGACGUAUAGGGUGUGACGCCUGCCCGGUGCCGGAAGGUUAAUUGAUGGGGUUAGCUAACGCGAAGCUCUUGAUCGAAGCCCCGGUAAACGGCGGCCGUAACAAUAACGGUCCUAAGGUAGCGAAAUUCCUUGUCGGGUAAGUUCCGACCUGCACGAAUGGCGUAACGAUGGCGGCGCUGUCUCCACCCGAGACUCAGUGAAAUUGAAAUCGCUGUGAAGAUGCAGUGUAUCCGCGGCUAGACGGAAAGACCCCGUGAACCUUUACUAUAGCUUUGCACUGGACUUUGAAUUUGCUUGUGUAGGAUAGGUGGGAGGCUUUGAAGCGUGGACGCCAGUCUGCGUGGAGCCAACCUUGAAAUACCACCCUGGCAACUUUGAGGUUCUAACUCAGGUCCGUUAUCCGGAUCGAGGACAGUGUAUGGUGGGUAGUUUGACUGGGGCGGUCUCCUCCUAAAGAGUAACGGAGGAGUACGAAGGUGCGCUCAGACCGGUCGGAAAUCGGUCGUAGAGUAUAAAGGCAAAAGCGCGCUUGACUGCGAGACAGACACGUCGAGCAGGUACGAAAGUAGGUCUUAGUGAUCCGGUGGUUCUGUAUGGAAGGGCCAUCGCUCAACGGAUAAAAGGUACUCCGGGGAUAACAGGCUGAUACCGCCCAAGAGUUCAUAUCGACGGCGGUGUUUGGCACCUCGAUGUCGGCUCAUCACAUCCUGGGGCUGAAGCCGGUCCCAAGGGUAUGGCUGUUCGCCAUUUAAAGUGGUACGCGAGCUGGGUUUAGAACGUCGUGAGACAGUUCGGUCCCUAUCUGCCGUGGACGUUUGAGAUUUGAGAGGGGCUGCUCCUAGUACGAGAGGACCGGAGUGGACGAACCUCUGGUGUUCCGGUUGUCACGCCAGUGGCAUUGCCGGGUAGCUAUGUUCGGAAUAGAUAACCGCUGA